rnacentral:rRNA from 1 species
UGGGGAAUCUUGCGCAAUGGACGAAAGUCUGACGCAGCGACGCCGCGUGGGUGAUGAAGGCCUUCGGGUUGUAAAGCCCUGUGGGGAGGGACGAAUAAGUUGCAGCUAAUACCUGCAGCGAUGACGGUACCUCCUUAGCAAGCACCGGCUAACUCUGUGCCAGCAGCCGCGGUAAGACAGAGGGUGCAAACGUUGUUCGGAAUUACUGGGCGUAAAGCGCGUGUAGGCGGUCAUGUAAGUCGGAUGUGAAAGCCCUCGGCUCAACCGAGGAAGUGCACUCGAAACUGCGUGACUAGAGUCUCGGAGAGGAUCGUGGAAUUCUCGGUGUAGAGGUGAAAUUCGUAGAUAUCGAGAGGAACACCGGUGGCGAAGGCGGCGAUCUGGACGAUGACUGACGCUGAGACGCGAAAGCGUGGGGAGCAAACAGGAUUAGAUACCCCUGUAGUCC